rnacentral:rRNA from 1 species
AAAUUGAAGAGUUUGAUCAUGGCUCAGAUUGAACGCUGGCGGCAGGCCUAACACAUGCAAGUCGAACGGUAACAGGAAGCAGCUUGCUGCUUCGCUGACGAGUGGCGGACGGGUGAGUAAUGUCUGGGAAACUGCCUGAUGGAGGGGGAUAACUACUGGAAACGGUAGCUAAUACCGCAUAAUGUCGCAAGACCAAAGAGGGGGACCUUCGGGCCUCUUGCCAUCGGAUGUGCCCAGAUGGGAUUAGCUUGUUGGUGGGGUAACGGCUCACCAAGGCGACGAUCCCUAGCUGGUCUGAGAGGAUGACCAGCCACACUGGAACUGAGACACGGUCCAGACUCCUACGGGAGGCAGCAGUGGGGAAUAUUGCACAAUGGGCGCAAGCCUGAUGCAGCCAUGCCGCGUGUAUGAAGAAGGCCUUCGGGUUGUAAAGUA